UACAGGGGGCCCGAGCGUUAAUCGGAAUCACUGGGCUUAAAGGGUGCGUAGGCGGAUCAGGAAGUGUUUCGUGAAAACCCCCGGCUCAACCGGGGAACUGCGGGGCAAACUCCUGAUCUUGAGGGAAGUAUGGGCGGACAGAACUAUCGGUGGAGCGGUGAAAUGCGUAGAGAUCCGGAGGAACACCAAAGGCGAAGGCAGUGUCCUGGGGAGUACCUGACGCUCAGGUGCGAAAGCCAGGGGAGCGAACGGG
rnacentral:rRNA from 1 species